rnacentral:rRNA from 1 species
CAGUAGCCGCGGGAAAACGUAGGUGGCAAGCGUUGUCCGGAAUUAUUGGGCGUAAAGGGCUCGCAGGCGGUUUCUUAAGUCUGAUGUGAAAGCCCCCGGCUCAACCGGGGAGGGUCAUUGGAAACUGGGAAACUUGAGUGCAGAAGAGGAGAGUGGAAUUCCACGUGUAGCGGUGAAAUGCGUAGAGAUGUGGAGGAACACCAGUGGCGAAGGCGACUCUCUGGUCUGUAACUGACGCUGAGGAGCGAAAGCGUGGGGAGCGAACAGGAUUAGAUACCCGUGUAGUCCCUGUCUCUUAUAC